CCAACCUGCCACCAGGAUGCAGAGCGUCCGCCGCCCUGUGUCCGGCGACACCUCGCUGUCAUCCCCCCGGCUUGUGCGCCCUUGUAGACAGCCCGGGGCCUUCGUGAGACCGGUGCAGGCCUGGGGUAGUCUCCUGUCUGGACAGAGAAGAGAAGAAUGCAAGACACCGGCUCAGUAGUGCCGUUGCAUUGGUUUGGCUUUGGCUACGCAGCACUGGUUGCUUCUGGUGGGAUCGUUGGCUAUGUAAAAGCAGGCAGCGAGCCGUCCCUGGCUGCAGGGCUGCUCUUCGACAGCCUAGCCGGCCUUGAUGCUUACCAGCUGUCUCAGGAUCCAAGGAACGUUUGGAUUUUCCUAGCUACAUCUGGUACCUUGGCUGGCAUUAUGGGAAUGAGAUUCUACCACUCUGGAAAAUUCAUGCCUGCAGAUUUAAUUGCAGGUGCCAGUUUGCUGAAGGCCGUCAAAGUUGGAGUUAGUAUGUUCAACAGACCCCAUUAGCAGAAGUCAUGUUCCAGCUUGCACUGAUGAAGAAUUAAAAAUCUGCAUCUUCCA